ensembl:lncRNA
GGGUGAAGCAGAGAGGAACCCUGUCCUCUGAGGCCUUAUAGGUUUGGAAGGGAGGGAAAACGUACCCUGGAAUCAUGAUUACCUAAGAUAGAAAGAGAUCCACGCAAUGAAAGAGGUACAAACUAACGUGAGAGGUCAGAGAAAGAAAAGAGUUCCUCCAAUGAGGAGCGUCAGACAGACAAAACCUCAGCUGGUUCGUUAAGGCCUGGGAUUUAUUUGUCCAAGAAGCACCACGGGGGACGGUGAUUCCGGUUGAAGCGACAGAGGGGCAGAGGGCAGAGAGCGAAGGUGCUCUUCUUCCAGGGCUGGGGAGCGGAGGGUGCUUGGAGAAGCGCGCGCAUCUCAGUUUCCUUGAGAGCUCAGUCUGGAACUUGGCUCUGCCCCAGCUUCUUGCUUUGACUCCAGUUGAUCAGACGUUACAAUCUGCCAACCUUGACCACUUGUGCAUGAGUCAAUCAACAGGUUUCCCUUGUCCUUCCCCAUGACACAAUGAGGAAGCAAUGCCCAGAUUGUGCUGAUGGGAAAGAGAGGCUGCCGGAAGGAAACAAAAGUUCAUCAAGGGCUGGCAAAUAUUAAUCUGGGAGCUCACGGAUGGGCAGUGAUGCGCGCUCUCUGGCGGUAGGUGUUCCCUUCAUGUUCUUGCUACUUCUGGGCUGAGAGGAGUCCACACCUCACCCCUGCACUGAGGGCAGUCGCCGUGACGCUCCAUCGUCUUCUGUUCUCCAUCUACUUCCAGGCGCUUUCCAAGAGAAGGCUAGGGAGGUGGGAGAGAGACAGACAGUGGACUGAAGAUCUUGGUGAAGAAGAGAAGACAGAGCUCUCACUCCACAAUCGCCCUUUUCUCUAACAAUAUGCAUUUUCUUUUCCUAGAUUCAUGUUUUUUAACCAUGACCGUGCGUAAGAAUCACAAGAGGAAGCUUCAGAAAAAUUAUGCUGGGGCUUUAUCUCCAUUUAUUAGGAUUCAAAUUUCCGGGUGAGCCUUGAACAUGGGGAUUUUAAAAUAGCUCUUAAGUGAUUUCUGUAGGUAGCCAGGCUCGAGAAUCAUUGUCCUACUUGCAAAAUCCACCGAGAGUGUCCACAUCCCGCUCCCCUUACUUUACAGGAUGUGUUGAUCCCCAGCAACACUGCUCCUCCUUCACUGCAUGUUAGGAUGCCCUGGAGGACUUUUUUAAAAAUGAGGCUGUCCAGGGCCUGCCCCCAGAAUUUCGGAUUAGUUGGCUUGAAGUGGGGUGCAGGCGUGAAAGAUAUACCUCCACAAGCUAAUAAUUCCAUAUAUAUAUGAUUAUUCAUCACAGCAUAAUUGAUAAUAGAAAAGAUUGGAACCCAAAUGUUUAUCUAUCAGAGAUAUUAAAUAAACUCUGGUCCAACCUCAACCUGGCAUACUAUGCAUCUGUUAAAACAGAAUGAGAAGAUCCCUCUGCGCUGAUAUGAAAAGAUCUCUAGGGUAUACAGAAAGGAAAAAAAAUCCAUAGACAGAACAGCAUCUCUAGGGUACUACUGUUUGUAUAAGAAGAAGGGGAGAAAAAUCGAGAAUAUACUUUCAUGGUGCUUGUAUUUGCAUAAAGAA